AGGGUACGGGUAGGGAAGCGUAGGGGUAGUGUAGGGGUAGGGUAGGUUUAGGGCCGGGUUUAGGGUAGUGGUAGGGUCGGGGUAGAGGUAGGGUAGUGGUAGGGUAGAGGUACGGGUAGGAUAGGGAAGUGGCAGGGUAGGGGUAGGAUAGGCGUGAUAUAGGGGUACGGGUGGGAUAGGGGUAGGAAAGGGAUAGGGUACGGGGAGGGUACGGGUAGGAUUGGGGUAGGGUAUAGGUAAGGUAGGGGUAGGGUAGGGGUAGGGUCGGGGCAGUGGUAGGGUUGGGGUAGUGAUAGGGUAGGGGUAUGGUAGGGGUAGGGUAGGUUAGGUUAGGUUAGGGGGUAGUAGUAAAAUUGACAUCGAAUUUUACGCAGACGAAGUCGCGGGCGUCCGCUAGUAAAUAAUAUAUUCUUUGCAAUGAACCUAUAAAGUCAAAACAAUGAAGUUAAUUGAGUGCUAUUAAUCGAUUUAUAUAGGAUGCUGAGACUUGGACUCUGAGAGAAAGAUAUUUGGAAUAUGCCCUAUAACUGCAGACUCCAAUAUUACAAAAAGCACCUGCAAUACAAUAGAAUAACAUAUUGGUGUGCUGAAGAAAAGAUGGCAAAGGCUUUUAGCUGAUAGGACAUUGUACUGAUGACCCUGUUAUCUGGUCAAAUCAUAAAUGUGUGUGUAUUAUCAAAAUAUUUGCAUAGAUUGUGAAAUGCUGAUGAUAUUUGAUUUGGUCUUUGAUAUUUGAAAAUAAAAGAAUACUUACUUCGC